GUAGGUGGCAAGCGUUGUCCGGAAUUAUUGGGGCGUAAAGUGCGCGCAGGCGGUUCUUUAAGUCUGAUGUGAAAGCCCACGGGCUCAACCGUGGAGGGUCAUUGGAAACUGGAGAACUUGAGUACAGAAGAGGAAAGCGGAAUUCCACGUGUAGCGGUGAAAUGCGUAGAGAUGUGGAGGAACACCAGUGGCGAAGGCGGCUUUCUGGUCUGUAACUGACGCUGAGGCGCGAAAGCGUGGGGAGCAAACAGGAUUAGAUACCCUGGUAGUCCGCGCCGUAAACGAUGAGUGCUAAGUGUUAGGGGGUUUCCGCCCCUUAGUGCUGCAGCUAACGCAUUAAGCACUCCGCCUGGGGAGUACGGCCGCAAAGGCUG
rnacentral:rRNA from 1 species